AAUAGCUCCAGUGGUGUUUUGUUUUGUUUUGUUUUUACUUAUAACUAAAUGGUUUUUCGACAACCAGCCCAGGAACAAGUCUGCUGCUAACGGUCCUGUUCUCUGGGCUGACAAAGACCCUGGCUUCCUGAAUUGGGACACCUUCACAUCCAAUUACUAACUGUAAUUGUGGCCAAAACACUGUACUGGCUUCCUCCUCUGGAAAAUGAGGAAAAUAAUGCCUACCCUACUGGGUUAUUGUGAAGACUGAGAUCGGACGGAAAGAAGAGGAAUAGAGAGGCUUACCUGCUCAGUCCUCUGUGGAGCUGCGGGAGACAGACACGACUGGUACACAGAAGACAACCCUCUAGGUGGCUGGCAGACUUGCUCGGCAGCUCACUACUGCCCUCUCCUGACAAAAACAGGACUUCUCCGGCAUCUUGAGGGCCCAGAGCCUGCUUCUUCUCAGCUUCUGGGCAACAGGUGAAACUGCUCAGAGACCCUGCGCAACGUCAAAGAACUAAGAAUGGUCAACACUGAGGAGAUCCUUGAACCAACAUGAAAAGAAAAGGUAGAAAGGAGGAGGAGAGAGCAGCCAUUCUGAGUGCCUACCUGGCUAGCGGCUGUGCUAGGGGCUUUCAAAAGGGCUGAGAGAGUUGUGGCAAGGAAUAUGAAUAGAAUCCAUGUAGAGCAUAGUAAAAGCACAAUAAACGUUGAAUACAUUA